UGAGUCCUUCUACAGCACGGCACUGACUGUGACGAGCGUCCGGGGCCCGCCUGGCAGCAGAGAGGGCCCUCAGUACUGAGCCGGGGCCGGCCGGGCGCAGGGAGGAGCCUGGAGCAGCCUCCUGAGAGCCCAGCUGAAUGUCAGAGCUCAGCCCUGCUCAAAAGCUGCACACCCACCCAGAGGCCUUCCUGGUGCAAUAAACCAUCCCAAAAGCAAAA